rnacentral:rRNA from 1 species
AUUGAACGCUAGCGGCAUGCUUAACACAUGCAAGUCGAACGGUAACAGGCCUAGCUUGCUAGGUGCUGACGAGUGGCGGACGGGUGAGUAACGCGUAGGAAUCUACCUUGUAGUGGGGGAUAACUUGGGGAAACUCAAGCUAAUACCGCAUGAGCCCUUAGGGGGAAAGCAGGGGACCGAAAGGCCUUGUGCUAUGAGAUGAGCCUGCGUCGGAUUAGCUAGUUGGUGGGGUAAAGGCCUACCAAGGCAAUGAUCCGUAGCUGGUCUGAG